rnacentral:lncRNA from 1 species
UUGGCUAAGUGCAAGUUCACAUUCUCUUUUGUUUUCUUAUAUAUAUAUGUGAUUACUUAAUCUGAAGACCAUGAUUAAUGAACCAAACUUAAACCCUUGGACAUUGGUCGUUUGUAUUGCUGCAGUGUCAAAUGAAGUGGGACGCAUAUCAUUGUGUGGAUGAUGAGUAUGGUUUACCAUAAGUAAAAUAAAAGGGUCUAUGUACGCUGACCUCACCAUGCUCUAGGUUGUCUUGUUUGAUUUCUUUUGUUGUUGUUGAAAGUUUGUCAUGUUACUUUGUAAUCUUUUGGUCUAGAUAUUGUAUCUUAAUUAUGUUUAAGAUAUGACAAUAGUAACUUAUGAAUCAUCUAUUACUGUGCACGGAGUAAAAUCAUCAAAUGCAUUCUAAUUAUAUAUGCACCGAAUGCAUGCUAAUUUUAUAACCAGUGAGUCCAAAUAAUUAACAUUGUUUUCUAUAUUACAAACUCACAAUUACAAUUCUAAAUAUUACGUGUAUUUUUAUGUUUUAUAUAUAUAUGUGAUUACUUAAUCUGAAGACCAUGAUUAAUGAACCAAACUUAAACCCUUGGACAUUGGUCGUUUGUAUUGCUGCAGUGUCAAAUGAAGUGGGACGCAUAUCAUUGUGUGGAUGAUGAGUAUGGUUUACCAUAAGUAAAAUAAAAGGGUCUAUGUACGCUGACCUCACCAUGCUCUAGGUUGUCUUGUUUGAUUUCUUUUGUUGUUGUUGAAAGUUUGUCAUGUUACUUUGUAAUCUUUUGGUCUAGAUAUUGUAUCUUAAUUAUGUUUAAGAUAUGACAAUAGUAACUUAUGAAUCAUCUUUUACUGUGCACGGAGUAAAAUCAUCAAAUGCAUUCUAAUUAUAUAUGCACCGAAUGCAUGCUAAUUUUAUAACCA